UAUAAGUUAAAGCUAUUUAUUUGGAAAUUAAAUAGAUACAAAUUUAGAUAUAAAUAAAAACUAUAUCAAUUUUUGCGUUUGUAUGAAAAUUGAGUUGCACCGGAUAAUAAAAUAAAUAGCAUUUGAAUGGUUAUUUUGGAACAAAAGAAAUAAGAGUUAUAAUUUUAAAUUAAAAAUAUUUUAUCUAAUUAAUUAAUAUCAAAAUAUUAAUUAAAAAUAAUUUAAUAAAGUAAUAAAUUUAUUAGGUAUGAAUAUUAUAUAAGACAAUAAAAAUAUAUUAAUAAAUUAAUGAAAUAUAAAGUAUAAUUUAAUUUUUUUUAAUUAGUUGGUAAAUUAUUUUAGUUAGAUAACUAGUAAAAAAUUAAUUACGGUAAUAAAAAUAUUAAUUGUUUAUCAAUAUAAGUAUUAGUUUAUAAAUAAACAUAUUAAAUUAUUAAUAAUUAAUUAGCUAAUUAAUUUUAAAUAAUAAUUAAUUAGCCUCCACCCAAUCCAUAUGGCAGCCACCACACUCCGAAAGUCACAAAAAAAUUCCUCGACAAAACGCUCGCUAAAUCGGCUCCUAAAUCAUAUAGAAAUUCAAUUCUAAGUUUUUAAUUUCAACGAAAAUCCGUUUCGUUGAAUUCACACGCUAGGUGGGUUCCGAGUCGUCGAAAACGGCAAACUUUCUCUUUUGUCUAUUUGUAGGAAUAUGAAUGUGUAUAUAAUUUAUAUGCUAUUUUCAGUUUAGCAGUUCUCUAUCAUGUGGUUGUAGCUUUGUUUUGUUUACAAGUACAGCUAUUACUUCGUAUACAAAAAAAAUUUUAUGUAUACAACGGGCCUGUUGGCGUAUCCGGAGAAACGUGUAGUAUGAGGCAUGACAAAUUAAGUUGGUACCACUUUCUUGGUGCUUUUAAGAGUAUUCUAGCUCAACUAUAUAUAUAUAUAUAUAUAUAAGUAAAUGAUGUUGAAAAAUUAUAAAAUUUGAUUUCUAGAAAUUUUAAAUGCUGUAAAUAACGUUUAACGGUAUGGAUCGUCGAUUCGGAAGCUCUAUCAUCGAAAACAACUUAUGAGUAUGAGGGCGAUCGUACUCAUAAUAGUAUAGUAGAUGGACCAUAUAUAUAUAUAUAUAUAUAUAGAAUUAGGCUGGAAUACUAUUAAUAGUAAAACGCUCUUUUUGCUAUCAAGUUUUUAACCCUUGGAUGAAAAAUUGUAGGUCAGAAUGAUAUUAGUCGGUUAGAGUUGAGUGGUCCCCCUAGGGUUGAAUGGUCCCCACUGGGUUAUAAUAUUUAAUCCAAUGGUUAAAAAUAAUAAAAAGAGUUGAUCCAAAGGCUAAAAAACUGGUAGUAAUAAUAGGAUUUGUCAAACUCUCUCUCUCUCUCUCUCUCUCUCUCUCUNUCUCUCUCUCUCUCUAUAUAUAUAUAUAUAGAGUAGGGCUGCUGUGCUCUCAGGAGCACGGAGGCCUCCGUGCUCCUGAGCCGUUUUCGAUGAUAGAAUUUUCGAAUCGACGAUCGGUUCCGUUAGACUUGAUCUAGCGUAUUUGAAAUUUCUAGAAAAUAAUUUUUGCGAUUUUUCGAUAUCAUUUACCUAGUAAUCGAAAAGAUUCAAAAUCAAUAAUUUUUAACGGCUGAAAAUAAAAAUCUUAUAAAAAGUGGUGAUAUAGCACUAAAAUUUUCGAUCAGAAAUAUUGAUCUUGUUAUAGAUAGUAUAAAGAAUUUUGUAUCAAAAUUUAAUCAGAUUUGAAUACUUCUACACCAUUAAACUUGAAAACGGCAGAUAUCAACCAUUAAAAAUUAUUGAUUUUGAAUCAUUUCGAUUACUAGGUAAAUGAUAUCAAAAAAUCGCAAAAAUUAUUUUCUAGAAACUUCAAAUACGCUAAAUCAAGUCUAACGGAGCCGAUCGUCAAUUCAGAAAUUUCAUAAUCGAAAAUGGCUCAGGAGCACGGAGGCCUCCGUGCUCCUGAGAGCACAGCAGCCCUACUCUAUAUAUAUAUAUAUAGAGAGAGAGAGAGAGAGAGAGAGAGAAAGAGAGAGAGAGAGAGAGAGAGUUUGACUGGGCUACUAUUAGUAGCAAAAUCCUAUUGUUACUACCAGUUUUUUAACCUUUGGAUCAACUCUUUUUAUUAUUUCUAACCAUUGGAUUAAAUAUUAUAACCCAGUGGAGACCACUCAACCCCAGGGGGACCACUCAACUCUAACCAACUAAUAUCAUUCUGACCCUACAAUUUUUCAUCCAAAGGUUAAAAACUUGAUAGAAAAAAGAUUGUUUUACUAUUAAUAGUAUUCCAGCAUAAUUCUCUCUCUCUAUAUAUAUAUAUAUAGGGUCCAUCUACUAUACAAUUAUGAGUACGAUCGCCCUCAUACUCAUAAGUUGUUUUCGAUGAUAGAGCUUCCGAAUCGACGACCCAUAUCGUUAAAUGUUAUUUACAGCAUUUAAAACUUCUAGAAAUCAAAUUUUAUAAUUUUUCAACAUCAUUUACCUUACGAUCAAGAGGUCACAAAUUUGACAAUUCUUAACGGCCGGUAUGAGAUACUUGCUAGUUUAACGGUGUAAAAGAAUCGGAAUUUGUUGAAUUUUCGAUAGAAAAUUCUAUUCACUACAUAGAUAAAGAUCAAUAGCUCCGAUCUUGAAAUGAAGGUUCCGAUCAUUCUUUUUUAGGACGUCGUUCGAUUUUGACCGUUCAUUUUACGCCCACUUAAUGGACUUUAUUAUGAUUUCGAAAAUUUACAAAAUUUAUUUUCUAGAAGUUUCAAACACUCUAGAUCAUAUUUAACGGAGUGAAUCGUCGAUUCGGAAGCUGCAUCAUCGAAAACAACUUAUGAGUACGAGGGCUCUAAUACUUAUAAUAGUAUAGUAGCCAUGGCCUAUAUAGGGUCCAUCUACUAUACUAUUAUGAGUACGAUCGCCCUCAUACUCAUAAGUUGUUUUCGAUGAUAGAGCUUCCGAAUCGACGAUCCAUACCGUUAAACGUUAUUUACAGCAUUUAAAACUUCUAGAAAUCAAAUUUUAUAAUUUUUCAACAUCAUUUACUUAUAUAUAUAUAUAUAUAUAUAUAUAUAUAUAUAUAUAUAUAUAUAUAUAUAUAUAUAUAUAUAUAUAGUUGAGCUAGAAUACUCUUAAAAGCACCAAGAAAGUGGUACCAACUUAAUUUGUCAUGCCUCAUACUACACGUUUCUCCGGAUACGCCAACAGAUCCGUUGUUUACAUAAAAUUUUUUCUGUAUACGAAACAAUAGCUGUACUUGUAAACAAAACAAAGCUACAACCACACGAUAGAGAACUGCUAAACUGAAAAUAGCAUAUAACUUAUGUACACAUUCAUAUUCCUACAAAUAGACAAAAGAGAAAGUUUGCCGUUUUCGGCGACUCGGAACCCACCUAGCGUGUGAAUUCAACGAAAUGGAUUUUCGUUGAAAUUAAAAACUUAGAAUUGAAUUUCUAUAUAAUUUAGGAGCCGAUUUAGCGAGCGUUUUGUCGAGGAAUUUAAAAUUAUAAUUUUUAUUCCUCUUAUUCUAAUCUAAUCAUCCAAAUUAUUAUUUACUUUAUUCUCAGAAAUAACGUAAUUUUUUUAACAUAAAAUUGAUUUAGUUUCUAUUUAUAUAUUAACUUGCACUUAUUUUCAAAAUAAAUAAUUUUUAUUUAUACCCCAAACAAAGGGAGCCCCAAAAAAUUAAUAAAUUUACAGUGAUAUUAUUAUUAUUAUUUUAUUAUAAUAUUAGAAUUUAAAAUGAAAAGUGUAAAUGUUUGAGUUGGUGGAUUAACUUUUC
rnacentral:lncRNA from 1 species